rnacentral:rRNA from 1 species
UAAAGUUCUGUUGUCAGGGAAGAACAAGUAUCGGAGUAACUGCCGGUACCUUGACGGUACCUGACCAGAAAGCCACGGCUAACUACGUGCCAGCAGCCGCGGUAAUACGUAGGUGGCAAGCGUUGUCCGGAAUUAUUGGGCGUAAAGCGCGCGCAGGCGGUUCCUUAAGUCUGAUGUGAAAGCCCCCGGCUCAACCGGGGAGGGUCAUUGGAAACUGGGGAACUUGAGUGCAGAAGAGGAGAGCGGAAUUCCACGUGUAGCGGUGAAAUGCGUAGAGAUGUGGAGGAACACCAGUGGCGAAGGCGGCUCUCUGGUCUGUAACUGACGCUGAGGCGCGAAAGCGUGGGGAGCGAACAGGAUUAGAUACCCUGGUAGUCCACGCCGUAAACGAUGAGUGCUAAGUGUUAGAGGGU